GCAAGUCGAACGCGAAAGUCCCGCAAGGGAUUAGUAGAGUGGCAAACGGGUGAGUAACACGUGGGUGACCUGCCUUCGAGUGGGGGAUAACGUCCCGAAAGGGUCGCUAAUACCGCAUGACAUCCUGCUUUUUAAGAGGUGGAGAUCAAAGCCGGGGACCGCAAGGCCUGGCGCUUGAAGAGGGGCCCGCGCCUGAUUAGCUAGUUGGUGAGGUAACGGCUCACCAAGGCAACGAUCAGUAUCCGGCCUGAGAGGGCGGACGGACACACUGGGACUGAGACACGGCCCAGACUCCUACGGGAGGCAGCAGUGGGGAAUUGUUCGCAAUGGGCGCAAGCCUGACGACGCAACGCCGCGUGGAGGAUGAAGACCUUCGGGUCGUAAACUCCUUUCGAUCGAGACGAAUGGUCUCCGGGUGAAUAACCUGGAGAAGUGACGGUACCGAGAGAAGAAGCCCCGGCUAACUUCGUGCCAGCAGCCGCGGUAAUACGAGGGGGGCAAGCGUUGUUCGGAUUUAUUGGGCGUAAAGGGUGCGUAGGCGGUUUGGCAAGUCUUAUGUGAAAUCUAUGGGCUCAACCCAUAGUCUGCAUAAGAAACUGCCGGGCUUGAGUAUGGGAGAGGUGAGUGGAAUUUCCGGUGUAGCGGUGAAAUGCGUAGAUAUCGGAAGGAACACCUGUGGCGAAAGCGGCUCACUGGACCAUAACUGACGCUGAUGCACGAAAGCUAGGGGAGCAAACAGGAUUAGAUACCCUGGUAGUCCUAGCCCUAAACGAU
rnacentral:rRNA from 1 species